UCCACGCCGUAAACGAUGGUCACUCGUUGCUGGUGAUAUACAAUCAGUGACUGAGCGGAAGCAUUAAGUGACCCACCUGGGGAGUACGUUCGCAAGAAUGAAACUCAAAGGAAUUGACGGGGGCCCGCACAAGCGGAGGAACAUGUGGUUUAAUUCGAUGAUACGCGAGGAACCUUACCUGGGCUUAAAUGGGAGCGUCUUCGGGCUAGUUCUUCGAAAGAAGACUUAAACUUUCAAGG
rnacentral:rRNA from 1 species